GGCCUUGACAUUGAUAGAAUCUGCUAGAGAUAGCGGAGUGCCCUUCGGGGAGCUUGAAAACAGGUGCUGCACGGCUGUCGUCAGCUCGUGUCGUGAGAUGUUGGGUUAAGUCCCGCAACGAGCGCAACCCUCGUCACUAGUUACUAACGGUUCGGCCGAGGACUCUAGUGAGACUGCCUUCGUAAGGAGGAGGAAGGUGAGGACGACGUCAAGUCAUCAUGGCCCUUACGGCCAGGGCGACACACGUGCUACAAUGGGAUGUACAAUGAGACGCAAUACCGCGAGGUGGAGCAAAUCUAUAAAGCAUCUCUCAGUUCGGAUUGUAGUCUGCAACUCGACUACAUGAAGCUGGAAUCACUAGUAAUCGUAGAUCAGCCAUGCUACGGUGAAUACGUUCCCGGGUCUUGUACUCACCGCCCGUCACACCAUGGGAGUUGAUUUCACCCGAAGCGGGGAAGCUAAACUGGCUACCCUCCACGGUGGAAUCAGCG
rnacentral:rRNA from 1 species